rnacentral:rRNA from 1 species
UGGGGAAUAUUGGACAAUGGGCGCAAGCCUGAUCCAGCAAUGCCGCGUGUGUGAAGAAGGCCUUCGGGUUGUAAAGCACUUUUAUUCAGGAGCGAAACGCUGUCGGCUAAUACCCGGCGGAACUGACGGUACCUGAGGAAUAAGCACCGGCUAACUUCGUGCCAGCAGCCGCGGUAAUACGAAGGGUGCAAGCGUUAAUCGGAAUUACUGGGCGUAAAGCGUGCGUAGGCGGUUUCUUAAGUCUGCUGUGAAAUCCCCGGGCUCAACCUGGGAAUGGCAGUGGAUACUGGGAGGCUAGAGUGUGUCAGAGGGUGGUGGAAUUCCCGGUGUAGCGGUGAAAUGCGUAGAGAUCGGGAGGAACAUCAGUGGCGAAGGCGGCCGCCUGGGACAACACUGACGCUGAGGCACGAAAGCGUGGGGAGCAAACAGGAUUAGAUACCCUGGUAGUCCACGCCCUAAACGAUGCGAACUGGAUGUUGGUCUCAACUCGGAGAUCAGUGUCGAAGCUAACGCGUUAAGUUCGCCGCCUGGGGAGUACGGUCGCAAGACU